AAAUCAGUCUCUGGUUUCAAACCUCUUGUGAUGGAGUUCUGGGCUGUGAGUGAGGGGGCAACCACCCAUGUAUGACAAAUUUGGGACUGUUCCCAGACGAAACUUUGCACAUGUAUAUCAGGACAAGCACCAGGCAUUAGAUUUUCAACCGUACCAGGGCAGGGAGCCCAGUUGUUGGACCGUACCAGGUUCUAGGACCGGAGGGGUCCUACAGGACUAUACCAACUGGACUGAUCCAUAUCUGUCGCCCGCUAUCCCUCAUUUCCCCUUUGCUCUACACAGCCAGCCCCGACAGCUCCGGGGCUUAAGGGACUGUCAGGCUCAAGAGAAGAGAGAGAGGGAAUGGCAGGUGGGAGAGGCUCAUAGAGCAGCAGCUAGGGAGAGGGAAAGGGAGUGUGAGAGAAGGAUGCAGAGGAAUGGGUGGCAGAGGAAGUGGGAGCCCUGUAGUCCUGUCCGCUACAGGAGGGAGCCAGCCAAGAGAAGCCUGAGUGACAGUAACUUUUGGGAGCUGGAGGCCUGGGUGGCCCGCUGCAGCCACUCACUCCCUAGGAAGAGACGCCUGGAGGCAGGGCUGAGGGUGGGGAUCCAGGGGGCGCCCGAGAGUGAGAGAGUCCUGGAGAGAGAAUCAUGGGUCACCAGAAGUGGAGCAGAACUCAUAGCAAGUGCAAUGCAUCUGGCCGGACUAUCUCUUCAGCCAAGACAAUGGGGACAGUGGGAGAGGAGGGACACACAGCAAACUAUGUGCCACCGCUUGUCUGACCCGGUCAUUCCUUAUACAACAUACCCAUCAGACACCAAGGAGAAUGAGACAAGCUACCAGAAGAGGGUGUUUAGUCAACCGCCAGGCUACAUUCCAUGUCCACCUUAUAAUGCCCCACAUAACAUUUCACCAGUAAUGCAACAUGCUGAGAAAUAUACCACUAAAGAAGCCAUGGCUUCUGUGUAUGCAGGGUGGGAUCCGAGAGCUAACAGACACAAAAACUGCACACUGCCUACUCCGAGGAAGCAAGACUACUCAGUACUAGACUUUCAUAGGGAAAGGGGAGGGGGAGAUGAUUUUAUGAAAGAAGAGUGGAAGCAGAGGACCUGGUCUGAUCCUGGAGGGCAUAGGCAGCAAGGACAUAUUGUAGUUGGUCAAUGGACAGGCUUUCCAGCCCAUCCACAGAACAUGCCAAUCCAGUCUGAAAGCCUCUCACCUCUGCUGCAGUCCCCACAACAGCCUCAGAUGGCCAACCUCAGUGAGACAGCCUACCCCAGGGCCACCACAGAAAGGAAAGUCAGUCUAAAGAAAAGGAGAGGAGGGGAGACCAUAUUUUGCUUAGUGUCUCGCAUGGGUGGAGUGGCAGGGUUGCCAAGUUCUCCUGAAGAAACACUAAAACCCCUUUCUCUGCCACUCUUCACCAUCUCCCCUCUAACAACUGUGUCAAACAGUGAGUUAAGCAGAGUACCUAGCGGUCUAAAGGAGUGUGGUGCCAGUAAUGAAUCACAUAAGCUUGCAGAUAAAGUUGAUUCAGGUGUGCCAUCACUCCAGCAUGAUUCCAGUGCUUCAGCCCAGACCCCUUCCUCCAUAAGAAACAGCAAUCUCAAACCUAAACUGAAGGGGGGCUAGACUGGAUGGGAAGUGAGCAAGUAGCAGCCCACAGGGAUGAGCUUCUCAGGGCCAUUCAGAGCAGACCAAGGCUUCAAGGAGAGGAAAGUGACCUCUAAAGCCUACCCAGUACGACGGACAGUGAAGUUGCCUUGCCAGAAAGCACCCAGGUUAGUGCUUCAUCCCCUGUAUCCAGGAAAAAAGGGAUGCAAGUACUGGCUCCUGUGUCAGUCAAGGGAGCCCAGUUACAUUGGCCGAGUCAAGAGUGACAAUCCCUCACCUAGCUAUUUGAUGGGUACCUGGGAGGACGGCGAACCAGGUAAGAAUCUGAAUGAUGAUCGUACAGAAAAUAGUCCUGAUGCUUGCAAUUAUCCUCUUGAUGUUGAAGUGAGGCGAUUGGAGCUCAAGAGAGACACAGAGUCUGACGGUAGCAGUGGUCUUCUGGUUAUCAAUGCAACUUGUGUUGUAAUCAGAGUGGAGUUAAUUUUCCCUCCUAAAAAAGAACAUUCCCAGUAUUUGUGCUUACCAACUCCUAGUGACCCCCCUGUGCCUGAUCUAGACCCAAGCUCCAGCGUUCAGGAUAAAACAGAAAAGGAUGAGAUGCCACAGCUGCCAAAAGAUGAGAACAAGGACACCCUUGAGUGCCUUCCUGUGGUUACUCUGAAAGAGCCAGUGUCAGAGGCAUCGCCUGAGAUUGGUCUCACUGAAGAUAAUUUUUCUGCUAAAGAUACUGAUGUCACUUUAGAUGACCAGUCUGCACCAGAUAUAGUUGCAGAGCCCAAGAUGGAGCUGAGGGAACAAACAUGUGACGUCUCUGUGGAGAACUCCAGUGACUGUCUGCCUGACUUAAAGGUUAUGUCUUUACGAGAGACAGGUAGUGCAAACAAGCCCCCAUUCAAUCCUUGCCAGGAAACAGGUACAUUUGGUGAUGGUGGUUUUUCCCCACCCAUCUCUCAGUGCCUCAACCCACCUCUAAGUAACCCAGAUUCUCCCCCACACUCACCUUUAGAUGCUACCUCCCCCUCUUAUUCAAGACCCUCCUCUUCCUCUCAUCACUUGUUGACUUUACUCUCCCAGUUCAUUUCAUUAUCUCCCCUCCCUAAGUCCAACAUAGACCCCCUGUCUCUCCCUGAAGAUCCACCCUCUCCCUUAGAUAUAAGCUUACCCCUUCACCCUGAUUACCCUACUACUGAACACUCAGACUCCAUUUCCCUGUCCCAAUUCUCAUCUCCCCCUCCCUCAGUCCCGCUCUUCCCCUCCAUCUCCCUCGGUCCCAAUCUCCCCCUCCAGAACCCUCCUCUAGAGCCUGGAGCCUAGAGAUACUGGCCGAGGCCUUUACCCCUGUUCUGUCCAUAUCCACCACACUCACCACACAUAGAGAGGAGCCGCAAUACCACAAGUCCCACUGCAGUGAAAUGCACCCGGAAGGACACAGCCCCUAACUCAGAAAAUGAGGAAGAGGGACGUGAGCUGUGGGAUCCAGAAAGUGCUGGUGAGGAUGGUGCUGCACUAUACACUAUACUAUACAUCCUGUGGCGUUGUGCAUUAGCAUCGAACAGCCCCCGUGAUAUGCAACUUUUCAGGGAAGUUAGGAACCAAUAUACACAGGCAGUUAGAAAAGCCAAGGCUAGCUUUUUCAAGCAGAAAUUUGCUUCCUGCAACACAAACUCAAAAAAGUUCUGGGACACUGUAAAGUCCUCGGAGCAUAAGAGCACCUCCUCCUAGCUGCCCACUGCACUGGGGAUAGGAAACUCUGUCAACACCAAUAAAUCCACUAUAAUUGAGAAUUUCAAUAAGCAUUUUUUCUACGGCUGGCCAUGCUUUCCACCUGGCUACCCCUACCCCGGUCAACAGCACUGCACCCCACACAGCAACUCGCCCAAGCCUUCCCCAUUUCUCAUUCUCCCAAAUCCAGUCAGCUGAUGUUCUGAAAGAGCUGCAAAAUCUGGACCCUACAAAUCAGCCGGGCUAGACAAUCUGGACCCUUUCUUUCUAAAAUUAUCUGCCGAAAUUGUUGCAACCCCAUUACUAGCCUGUUCAACCUCUCUUUCGUGUCGUCUGAGAUUCCCAAAGAUUGGAAAGCAGCCGCGGUCAUCCCCCUCUUCAUUGGGGGUGACACUUGACCCAAACUGCUACAGACCUAUGUCUAUCCUUCCCUGCCUCUCUAAAGUCUUCGAAAGCCAAGUCAACAAACAGAUUACCGACCAUUUUGAAUCCCACCGCACCUUAUCCGCUAUGCAAUCUGGUUUCAGAGCUGAUCAUGGGUGCACCUCAGCCACGCUCAAGGUCCUAAAUGAUAUCUUAACCGCCAUCGAUAAGAAACAAUACUGUGCAGCCGUAUUCAUUGACCUGGCCAAGGCUUUCGACUCUGUCAAUCACCACAUCCUCAUCGGCAGACUCAACAGCCUUGGUUUCUCAAAUGAUUGCCUUGCCUGGUUCACCAACUACUUCUCUGAUAGAGUUCAGUGUGUCAAAUCGGAGGGCCUGUUGUCCGGGCCUCUGGCAGUCUCUAUGGGAGUGCCACAGGGUUCAAUUCUUGGGCCGACUCUUUUCUCUGUAUACAUCAAUGAUGUCGCUCUUGCUGCUGGUGAGUCUCUGAUCCACCUCUACGCAGAUGACACCAUUCUGUAUACUUCUGGCCCUUCUUUGGACACUGUGUUAACUAACCUCCAGAUUAGCUUCAAUGCCAUACAACUCUCCUUCUGUGGCCUCCAACUUCUCUUAAAUACAAGUAAAACUAAAUGCAUGCUCUUCAACCGAUCACUGCCUGCACCUGCCCGCCCGUCCAGCAUCACUACUCUGGACGGUUCUGACUUAGAAUAUGUGGACAAUUACAAAUACCUAGGUGUCUGGUUAGACUGUAAACUCUCCUUCCAGACUCACAUCAAACAUCUCCCAAAGUUAUAUCUAGAAUUAGCUUCCUAUUUCGCAACAAAGCAUCUUUCACUCAUGCUGCCAAACAUACCCUCGUAAAACUGACCAUCCUGCCGGUCCUCGACUUCGGCGAUGUCAUUUACAAAAUACCCUACUCAAUAAAUUGGAUGCAGUCUAUCACAGUGCCAUCCGUUUUGUCACCAAAGCCCCAUAUACUACCCACCACUGCGACCUGUACGCUCUCAUUGGCUGGCCCUCGCUUCAUACUCGUCGCCAAACCCAUUGGCUCCAGGUCAUCUACAAGACCCUGCUAGGUAAAGUUCCCCCUUAUCUCAGCUCGCUGAUCACCAUAGCAGCACCCACCUGUAGCACGCGCUCCAGCAGGUAUAUCUCUCUGGUCACCCCCAAAGCCAUUUCCUCCUUCGGCCGCCUCUCCUUCCAGUUUUCUGCUGCCAAUGACUGGAACGAACUACACAAAUCUCUAAAACUGGAAACACUUAUCUCCCUCACUAGCUUUAAGCACCAGCUGUCAGUGCAGCUCACAGAUUACUGGACCUGUACAUAUCCCAUCUAUAAUUUAGUCCAAACAACUACCUCUUCCCCUACUGUAUUUAUUUAAUUUAUUUUGCUCCUUUGCACCCUAUUAUUUCUAUUUCUACUUUGCACUUUCUUCCACUGCAAAUCUCCCAUUCCAGUGUUUUACUUGCUAUAUUGUAUUUACUUCGCCACCAUGGCCUUUUUUGCCUUUACCUCCCUUAUCUCACCUCAUUUGCUCACUUUGUAUAUAGACUUAUUUUUCUACGAUAUUAUUGACUGUAUGUUUGUUUUACUCCAUGUGUAACUCUGUGUUGUUGUGUGUCUGAUAAGAGAAUUAUCUAAUAAAGGUAAAUGAAUCAAUAAACCAUGAUGAAUUAUUAGUCAUACAGCAUGGUUAAUGAAUAAUCAAUGUAAUGAUCAAUGUAGGGAUCGAUUGGUCUGAUUAGUUCCGGAAAGUCCAGGAACCACUGGAGAGGGAAAGAAAUGUGUGUAUGCAAUUAAUAUAGAGAACUACAGAAGCAGAUGGUCAAGGGAGUAAAACUUCAAAGAGUUCCUAACCUUGAAGGAAAGGAACAGGCUGAGCCAGAAUGUGAUAAACAGCGUGAGAAGUCAAUGGGGGUUGCAGGUCACCAACAGAUUGUGUGUAAAUGCAUGUGCGUAAGUAAGCAAGAACUAUAUAAUGACUGUUUUGUUAUCCUGACGCCAGAACGUUCUCAUGAAUAAAGCUACAGAAACCUUUUGCAGAAAGCUGAGUCCUUGCCUAAUUAUUUGAACCCAUUGUCUUACAAACCUUGGGCAUUAGUCAAG
rnacentral:lncRNA from 8 species